AGGGUUGAUGGCGAGAUCAUUCCGAGCUGUCUCUUAUGGCCCAUGAAUUAGGGUUUUGGAGAUCGACAAGACGAUGAAGAGAGGAUUGAUUGGGCCAAGAAGAGGAUGAGUUAGAAGGAAGCCGGAUGAUUCGAAGGUGAUGGCGAACCACGCCGAUUCCAAGCGCACGUUCAGAUAUUUUUCUUGGUCCAAACAGGGACAAGGGUCAGCUUUAUCAUCAUCAUUUAAGGAUGUGCAAAGGCAAAGGUCAUCUGCAGCACUUGCUGUAUUCACUUGUGACAGAUGGGCAAGUCCAGCUUCGCUUUCAAGACACUGAUGGAGCCUAUUCAAGGAUUUCUUUUAGUGCAUCAAAAGUGCUCAGGAGGUAUCUUUGUUUACAGGAAUGAGAAUCUAUCCCUUGGAUUAUACCAAAUGAUCUAGUCAUUCAAUAGCAAGCUUCUAAAACAAAUGAAGAGGACAAAUGCAAGUUAACCAUUCUGUGUUGGUUUGAUUCACUGUGCAUAUACUGCCAGAAACUGAAGGCAGAGGGAUCACAACAGGAUAUAGAGAGAGAGAAAGAGAUUUCACAACAGGAAGGAGAGGACAAGUAGGUGGUUUAUGAGGGUAGGCAAUACCAAGACAAGACGCAUGUGCAUCUAUCUCCCAUGCUCUUCCAGAUGACAUCUCAACUGAGGAGAGAGAGAAUGAGAGAGUGGCAGGAGACAUCAAGAGUUGAUCAGCAACCUCACAUUAAUAUCAGACAUCUCUUUUUGUGAUAUGGAUGGUACCAUGCACUAAUUACUCCCCACCUGUUUGGUUGUUGGUGUACUACAUGAUAACUGAUCCAUGUGGGAGCAAUACCAGACUGCUUCAGCUAGCAGAAAUGACAUGGCCUGGGAAGAAAAAAACCAGCUCUAAGAUGCACAUCCAAGGAAGCUAAGUCAACAUGUUGGGCCAUCCCACCACAUGGUGUCUGUGUGUGGGUUUUCCUGCAUCACAUGUGACUUCCCCUUGUUUUAAGCUGGAGAAGUUGAAGCUUGAGUGGUGUUUUCAGCUCUAGUUCUUUGGACAGUGCAAGAACUCUACCAGUGCUGUAGUGGAGUCAAGGCUGCAGUAACCCCUCCUACUUGGCUGGGAUGUCUGUCAAUGUACCAAGACAAUCUCAGAUGGUUUUAUGUUUAGAAUAUCAAGAACUCAAAAUUUUCAGAAAAUAUGUUGGGUGUGUCCCUUUUUUAAUUUUUUGGAAGAAUGACUUGUAUCAUUUAUUUCCCUUAUUCUUUCUCAUAUAGGAUAUUUUACAUGUAAUCUGUUUGCUCCUUUACAUACUUUGGUUGUUCACUCAGACCAAAAGUUUUACAGUGUCAAGCUUCCUCUAUGGCAUCUCAUACA